GAAACAAAAGGCAGCAUUGAUUGUGCCGCAGGAUUGGAGGGACCAAAGGCGCUAAUUACCCAUCAGGGCAAGCAUGUGCAGGUCUCCCCUCCUUCAAACGGCGCUAUUUAACUGCUUAUAAACCAAAACAUUUUUUUUACUUCACUUUUUCAGAUUUUCUAAAAAAAACUGAAGGAGCCUCAAUUUUUUUUCUCUCAACACCCUCCCCUAUAUUCGGCCUAGGGUUUCUCUAAGCCACCGUCGCGCCGCCGCCAAGAUCGGUGGUCGGCGUUGCGCAAAGCCGACGUCUUUGGCCCCGUUUCCAACAUUUUAAAGGUCGAAUCCCUUUAUCCCGAAAAAUGGAAAGAAAAGGGUUUCGUUUUUUCCUUUUUAAGUUCAGUCCCGGCUACGGAGAAUCGACCCCCCCGACGACUGCGAAACUGCGAGGCAACUCAGGUGUUCUGACACGCGUGGAGGGGCGAUGGUAGGUGGAUCUCAAGCAGUGGCGACGUGCGCAGAGGCUGGCAGAGGCGUGUGUUGGUGGUGGCGCGCAUGGGAGGAGCGGCAGAGGCUAGGGUUCCCCUUGGCUGAUAAUUUUUAGUUUUAGUUGGGCUAAGGCUUAUUUUUAAUUUGGGUUAGGAAUUUGGGCUUAUUUUUUUGUAAUUAGACUGUUUUGAAUGUGUUGGGCCCGGGCAGAUUUUGGUCUUUACAAUUAUUAUUAUUUUUUUAAUAUUUGCUGUUAUACUUUUGGAGUAAAGAAUUAGACUUUUAAA